rnacentral:rRNA from 1 species
AGUUAUUUUCUAAAAAUUUGAAAAAUUUGGCGGUGGUUCAGUCCUGUCAGAGGAACCUGUCUUUUAAACGAUACACCACGAAAUAUUUUACUUAAACUGAUAAAGUAUGUAUACCAUCAUUAUUAGGUAAUUUUUAUAGAAUAAAUUACUAAAAGACNANCNNGUAAAGCUAAAUAUAUUAGAUCAAGGUGCAGCUUAUGUUUNAGUUAAGAUGGGUUACAAUAAUAUUUAUUUAUUACGGAUNGGUGAUUUAAACAUUGCCUGGAAGGAGGAUUUGAUUGUAAAAAUAGUUUAGUAUGGUAUUUAGAUAUAGGCUCUGAAGCAUGUACAUAUCGCCCGUCGCUUUCAUUCAUAAAAUGAGAUAAGUCGUAACAUAGUAGAUGUA